UUACCCAAGUUUACUUAAGUUUGUGGUGCUCUUUGUGCUGUUGCAAAAAUAUAUCAUAACUUUCUAAGUCUAGAUGCACCUCUAAACGAAAAUGUGAAACAAAUUUUAACAUGAUAAUAGCGAACCCAAAAUCAAUUUUUGAAAUUUCGAAAAGACAGUUCUAACUGCAUUUGUUGGUCCAAAUAACCAGAAUUUUAUGGUGGAGCGCAAUUUUUCUACUCAUCUGUAAUACGCAUUAUUACAACUUUAUGACGUAAUGUACUAUUUCCAUACACAGGGUCCUUCCCGAUAAGCGUCAGUAACGUUUAUCGAAAAGAGUUCAAAAUCAUUUUAUUAAAUUCCGAUUUAUAGUUAGUUAUAAAUGUAGCUAUAUGGGAAACGAUAUCGUAAAUAAGAUUUAGAGAAAAAAGUUUCAGUUCCACUCCACGAGACGUAAAUAGAGGGCGAUCCAAUAUUCCAAAGUUGGACAACUCAAGGGGUAGCUUUGGACGCUAUAACAAGCACCUGUUUCCGCCUUGAAAUUACCAGUUUUAGAACACCAGGUAUCUAACAGCGUUUUAAGCUGGGCGCUUCGUUACAAAGAUUGUAGCUCCGAAAAUAUUUGUUUCUGUAUACGAGUUGGAAAUAUAAGGCCGAACUUAGUAGGUCCAUUUGUAGAGCCGCCCGUGAAGGAAAAUAGGGGGCCGUAUCCGCCGAAAGCUCUCUUGCCAGGGAAGAAGAGAGAGAAUCAAUCUUAUUCAGUUUUAGAUCCGAUAAUUACCCAUGAAACGAGUUUAGUUUUCUAAUGAUAUACGAAAUCCAGCAUUAGAACCAAGGUCGUGCAGUAUACUUUGUUUCACUGGUGCUGAACCUGACGUCAUAAAUGCGAUUCUCUCUUCAUUACAUUUAAAUCGAUUGAGACAAAAAAAUUACGUCAUUAACGUAAGUCGUGACAAAUAAACCAAUUAUUGAUCUGUCAAUAAUAUCAAUCCGUCAAACGAUUUUCGUUAGAUUUCCAGUGUUUUGAGACUUCCUCCAUAUCACUGCGAGUAUAAUCCAAUCGAAAUGGUAUGGUCAGAAUGCAAACGGCAUUACGAUGCAAGGAUCGGUUCAAUUCAGCCUGUCACACACAGUGCCGUUUUGUCUUUAUGGAAUGAGGCACUGCACAAAGUUACACCGGAAAAAUGGAAAAGAUAUUUUGAUCAUACAAGAGGCAUUAUAAACCAGGCCUGGGAACGGGAACAACAUAUUGAUACAUCAGACAUCUUACCUGUGAUUAUCAACUUGGACGAAUCUGAUAGUGACGAAGAUUAUUAUGGUGAUUAUAUUCAUGAGACAGAAGAGAAUGAGCGUGUUUAAGAAUAUUAUUUUGGGCCGUUUAUACAUAUAUACUUGUGGUGUAGUGUCGUUUUUUCUUUUGUACAUACGAUUUGAAUAUGAACAUUUGAGUUUU